ACCCGCAGCAUAGGGAGGUUCCUAGGCUAGGCAUUGAAUCGGAGCUACAGCUGCCGGCCUAGCUACAGCCACAGCCAUGCAGGAUCCGAGAUGCGUCUGUGACCUGCACCACAGCUCACGGAAACGUGGGCUCCUUCACCCACUGAGAGAGGCCAGGGAUUGAACCCGCAACCUCAUGGUUACCAGUCGGAUUCGUUUCCGCUAGGGAAAGAGAGCAUUUGCUGCAGGGAAGGAAAAGAACGUCUUAUUCUGUGGACCAGCCGAAAUAUAUCUUCCAAAGAGAGAGAUGGGACAAACACACACCAAAGUACAUGUGGAUAAAUGAUCACGACGCUGCACGUCUAAAUAGAUGAGAGCAGAGAGAAGGCUGUAACAAACACAGAGACAAUAACCAGGUGGAAAACAGAGUUUUCACCGGGAAAGUUUCAAGCACUGUUUAGAAAGUGAGAGACAGCCACGUUCAGGCAAACGUGCCCGCAUGGUCUGUAUGUGAUUGUCCUCAGCAGUGAGGGAUAUUAAAAAUCUAUCACGCAUUACAGAAAACAGUCCAUUUGGUUUCAAGAUGGCCAACUAACUCACACAGCUUAAAGGAUGGACUGAGUCUUAGUAAAGGAACAUACAGCUCCAAAAUUCAAAUCACUCCAUAAAAAAACAAAACAAAACACUGUCCGAUCACUUAAGGGCACUGCAUCUCACAUAAUCCUCACGAUAACCCAGUGUGGGAGCUAAAUAUUAGUGGCCCAUUUUUCAGCUACGGAAACGGAGCCUCAGAGGUCAAAUAAGAUGCCAGAGGAAAAUCUGUGUUCUUCUAUCGCCUUUGGAAUAGAUAAAAAAUGAGAUCCUGCUAGAUAGCUCUGGGAACUCUAUCUAGUCACUUCUGAUGGAGCAUGAUGGAGGAUAAUGUGAGAAAAAGAAUGUGUGUAUGUAGAUGUGACUGGGCCACUUUGCUGUACCGUAGAAACCUGACAGAACACUGUAAACCAACUAUAAUGGAAAAAAAAUAAAAAUCAUUUCUUAAAAAAAUCUGGGCUCUUAACCACUGUGCUAGGUAAGUACCGGAAUACAAAGAAAUCAGCUCUCUAAUUAGGCAAACCUAAAAAGAAAGCCUUCCCCCAGAUCAUCCAAAAUUUAACACUAUUUUAUGCCUUGGCACAGCCAAAGGUGUUGUGUCAUCAGCCCCCGAUCACCACUCCCUCUGCUAGCCAGCAUCUCUGAGAACAGAUGCUCGGGGUGUCUGCAAGGAAGCCCAGGGCUUCAUCACUAGAAAGCAAGCAUGUGAAAGCUGCCAGGGACAGGGCAGGGAAAGCGUCCUGGGGCCCGAAGACACCAGAAGGAGGAGGCUGACCCCUAAGCAUAUACUUGUCCCCCUCUCUGAUGGAGUUAUCUUGGUCUAGUCCCUGGAGAGAAAGGCUACCCCGUGACCUGAGAAUGGUCCUCAAUCCCAGGUAAUGGUCCAAGCAAACUAGCUGAGCAGGACCCAGAGGUCAUUGGAAUCAUCUCCGCUUCAGACACGUGGUCAGGACUCUGCCCUCUUAGCCAACUGGACAGGCCAUGACGGGAAAAGGUGAGGGAUGCCAGUGAGGACCAAAGACCCAGAUGACUGGGGGCUUGAGGUUGGGAGUGGGUGAAAAAUGACUUUGUCUGCAAUCCUCGAAACUGAAGAGACUCCCCAAACACAAGCACGUUUCAUUUCUCACCCGCCUCCACCUCACUGCAGGCAGUGCAGGUUCCAGUCAACACCAACUGUUGCCGGGGCCAGAGGGUGCCAUGCUCUCUCCAGGCCUCCCUUGGACUUCUCUGAAAGCCUGCCCCACCCCGCUCCCUGAUCUAUCCUGUGAGCUCAUUUUCCAAACAUCAGAUCCAGUGUGUUCUCCCCCUCCCGCCCCCAGAAGUCUCCUCUCCCAAGGAGAGAAAAGCCCCUUUCCUCUAUGACCUACAUGUGACAGCACACAUCAAAACGCAUGAAAAUUCUCAGUGUGGACACAUCCUCUCCCCAUGAGAUAGGAUGUUCUUUACCAGCAAGGACCAUGCCCUAGUAAGGUGGUGCCUGCCUGGUACAUGAUAGGUGCUGAAUAAAAUAAUGCAAAGAAUGGCCUUGAUUAGAUACAUGGCAGCACACACACAAAACACACAAAAAAAGGAGUCUCAGAGGGGACAGGCUUUCACCUUCAAAGAGUUUAAAAUAAGACAAAGUCAGCAAGCAUUGACUAUGUCAAAGCCACUUGUCAAGAAAGCAUUUGUAGGGUGCCCAGAAUCAUUCUGGGCACCAGGUAGGACUGGGAAGAUGGUAGGAAGAAGAAUGUAAAAAUAAGACGGCGUCUUGUCUCACACGAAGUUUGCGUGCUACUUCUCCAUAGCAAACAGAAAUAAAAAGCACUGGUGAUUUCUCUUCCCACAGAUGUUCCUCCAGCUCAGAGCACUGCUGGCUUCCAAGAAAUGAAGUCAGAUACACGAAGUAAUCCCCUCCACAUGGACAACUAAUUAUACGUACAAAAAUAAUCACGUUUGCAGUAGCCAAAAUCCCAGCCCUAACCUGACUGCCCAUCAAGGGGGGAGUUAGUG
ensembl:lncRNA